rnacentral:rRNA from 5 species
ACUUGACCUCAAAUCAGGUAGGACUACCCGCUGAACUUAAGCAUAUCAAUA